rnacentral:rRNA from 1 species
UGGCGGACGGGUGAGUAAUGUCUGGGAAACUGCCUGAUGGAGGGGGAUAACUACUGGAAACGGUAGCUAAUACCGCAUAACGUCGCAGGACCAAAGAGGGGGACCUUCGGGCCUCUUGCCAUCGGAUGUGCCCAGAUGGGAUUAGCUAGUAGGUGGGGUAACGGCUCACCUAGGCGACGAUCCCUAGCUGGUCUGAGAGGAUGACCAGCCACACUGGAACUGAGACACGGUCCAG